GGCCAGUAUAAGUAUCUUCAUGAAGCUGUUGUUCAUUCUCUGACAAGUGACUGCCAUCCCGUGGCCGGUGCGAAAUUUCAAGCGUAUAUGGAUACAACGUCAAAGGAUAAAAUCAUGAACAUGUUUCAACAUUUGCAAGCUAUUAAAAGAUACGGAUCGUUGGGUGAAUCUGAAGCAGUUGAAAGGAACGCCAAACGUGCUGACAAAAACAGAGAAGGUUCUGAUAUCGCAGGAGAUGAACAUCGCAUUAGACUUCACCCUUACCUGAAAUUCGGAUCCACAUACUAUAUAAAUGCAGUUUUCGCUAAUAGUUUCCAAACACAGAAUAAGUACGUCCUUGCACAAACUCCUCUUCCAAAUACGGUUGUUGAUUUCAUCGCAAUGCUUGUCCAGACAGAGUGUUCGUGCAUUUUCGCUUUUGUACCAUCAACGAUUCGAAGUUCGAACAUCGGUGAGUAUUAACCCGCGGAUAACCAGGUUUUAAAGAUUGGAAUCUUCAGCGUCCGUUGUUCGAAGCCAGAAGCAAACGCUAACCAUAUUAAGCGGACAAUGACAAUCGAGCAUCGAGCAAACGUAUUGUCUUUAACGCAUCUGGAGUUAAAAGACUGGGCCAUGGAAGAACCUAUACCAAAUUCUCCGUCUGAAUUCCGACGAUUCAUUGACGAAGUUGACGCAAUAUCAACAAGUACCAACUCUGAUAAACGAAUUAUUGUACAUUGUUGGGACGGUGAAAGUCAAUGCGGCUUAUUCUGUGUGGUUGCGAGUCUCCUGCAGAAGAUGAAGAUGGAGGAAGAAGUCAGCGUAGUAAACGCAGUGAGGAUGGUACAGACCAGAAGAAAGGGAGCGAUUCCAAACUUGGAGCAGUUUCAGUUCUGCCACGACUGUGUGCUGGACUAUGUGCAAAGUGUCAACAUCUACGCCAAUGUUGCCGCUGAUCUCUCCGAUUGAUGAAUGACACUCAGCCAUGACCGUUUCCCGGACUUCAUUCAUAGCUUAGAUAAGUACUUCUUCGUCCAUGCUGAUAAUUCUUAUUGCUGACUACACAGUCUGAAAAGAUUUUGUCCUGUUACUCAAACAUGAACACAAAGCGAUAUAUUCUCCGACAUUUCAAGUGAUACGUCUGAUAAUGGACUACGUAUGUCUGCUAGUACAGCGUACUGGGAAGUAAUCAUAUAUAUGGCAGCAACCCCAACUUCGCUGCUUAUCCGACAGAUUGUUGACUACAUACUGUCCACCUUUACUGUACUCUGGUCUACAUCCAGAGCUUCGAUAUCUUUUUCAACUUCAUAGCGCAUUCAUCCGAUGACUUUAUUCCUUAAGUGGAUACCAUUGCUCUUUGCUGAUGUUUACUUUUCUUGAUCUGAAAGAAUAAUUCGUUUCGUAGAUAAUCGGAGUAGAAGAUUAAAGUAAAUCCUUGCACAUUUCUGUGAUAUUGUGCUUAACGUGUAGGUCAUUGUUUUGUGUUAUGGUAAUGUACAUUAAAAAUAAUACAUAUAAGCAUCCAAGUUAAAAUGUUUACAGUUAUCCUUGCUUUGUUUGGAGGUAUUUUAUUCCGCACAUUAGUGUAAACAAAAGCCUAUAUGUUUGUCCUAGCUGAAUCAGGAAGUAGUAUUGAUAAUUGCAUUUGUUCUUUUCAUCAGUGAAGUUAUAAUUUUCUGUUAAUUGUCAACUAAACUGGAUGCCAAUACAAAUGAGUAUCAUUCUAUAGAUAUUUGCAGUUGAUCAAGUAAUUUCAAAAGAAGGAUUUAAAUAGGUCGUUCAGAUAUGAGUAGUUGAUCCAAGUUGAUGCCUCUUUUAAAUGUUGUCUCCGUAUCAAUAGUCAUAUCACUUUUUUCCAGAGUUGAUGCAAUUAGCUUUUCAUUAAAAAUCGCAUAAUUGGCAACAUCGCUAUCGUGAAAUUGAUUUCUAUCAUGUUACUGGUGUAAUGCUAAUGCUUUUCCUUAUGUUAGUUAAUGUGUAUGACUUAAUUGUCGUAUAUAUUGGGAUGUCUAUCCUGAGUAAUCAUUCAAAGCAAUUAAACAACCUGUAACUUCAAUGUAAAACGGACACAAGUGUCGUUCUGACGUCGAUACCCAUUUGUUUGUUGUUGCAAAAUAUUUUCAUGCGUGUUACAAAAAAAUAUACUAUGUAAACAUACUGUGGACAAUGAGAUCUAGACAACAUGAUGAUAAAGCUCUUUGUUAAUUAGUUAAGUGGAUAAAUACUCAUAGCUGUUAAACGAGAACAAAUGCAUACCAUCAAAAUAUGACGUGACUAAGAAACAGUACAAUUUAAUGACGAAGAUGUGUCUUGGAAAAAGAACGCCUUAAAAGGCUUAUUGUAGUGUUACAGUUUAAUUUUGUAUUGACCUUGACAAACAAAUGCUUCUAUGUUAAAAUGUGUAAAAUAUUUGAUAUGCAAUAUGCAUCGUACAAAAUAUAAAUGUAUCCCUUUGGUGCACGGAGACAAUCAAAACUGUUGAAAAAAGUUCGAUGGGUGAAUGUGUCCUUAGAAUGCAAGGUAGUGUAGUGGUAAAUACCGGAUUAUUAUGCAAAAGUAAUACGCCUCGCGUAGAAUAUAUGAACAUAUGUGCACAUACAUUAUUAGGAAAAGUGUACUAGCGUUAUAUUUGUGUUUUGUCCUUUUUAUCACUUUUAAGUAGUAUACCGUGUAGAAAAUAUAAAUAAUUAUCGUGAUUUGUAGUACCAAAACUGAAUUGAGUGCGUAUUUUAGUAAUAACAAAUGAUUGUCUGAACUAAGUAUUGGAACUUAUGAAUUUCUAAACACUAAGAAACGUUUUCAUGUAUCUAACUGUAAUUAAAAACAUUCAAGUGUACGGUUAUUUUAAAUGGAUGCUGGUUUUAAUAGAUCUGUGUUUUAUACUUACAUAUUAUUCGAAUAAACAAAUUGAACAUUGUUAUGCAAAUAACAUUUUUAUAAUUUAUAAAGACAAUAUAACGAGAUGGAUCUAUCGAUAUUUCCGGAUCAGUAUCUCCAAAAGUACCGCAUCAUUUUAAAUGUAGUGAGAAUUGCUUCAGGUAAUCAAUAUCUUUUGUCUAAAUGGGUUGUCAUAAGUUCUUCAUUUUAACAUGGCAUGAAACGUUACUUAUUAUUUAUUGUAUCACUCGUUAAUGAAUGUUUCUUUAACAAUACUGCUGUUAAACGCCACCACAUGUGAAAAAAAUACUGUUAUACAGCGGCAAGAGGGCUUUGACGUCCUUAAUUACUCUUGUCAAUGAUUCUUGUCUUGGUCUUAAUAAUAGUACCUUUUUUUGGAUGCAUUAUUUAUUUCAGAUUUCAGGAAAGUUAUUCAAUGUCAUGCUUGAUACUGCGCCUUCAGAUAAAAAUGUUUGCAUGUAACAAGAUUUAGUGCAAUUUGCAAACCCUACUUUCUAUUCAUUUAGGUCCGGCACCCAUCAACAGAUUUAUCAUGUGCAAAUGAUGAAUUUCUUUUGAAGGAAAUCCUAAACAAACAUUUUUAUGAACUAUUUAAAACCUCCUAACGUUAGUUAGAUCAAUCAGAAUGUACGCGAAAACAGAUCUAUUAUUAUGAAGAUGAUAGUAGUUAUUUUAUCAUUCUAAUGUAAGUUUUGCGUUUCUGUCGAUUUUUAUCUACUAUAAAUACCGUAUGAUAUAAUAUGAAUGUAUGUGGGCGUGCAAGGGCGCGUGUGAGCAUGUUAUUAUCUUUCUUUUUUAAUAUUUGUAAUUGCAUUUGAUUUAUUUUUAAAAUGUAUUAUAGACGUGAUUGAAUAUUGAGACCACAUUUCCGAAAUAUACUCACGUCAUAAUUUGUUUGUAUCAUAAUAUGUAAUAUUAACUACUGGAUUAUUUUACAUUAUAAUGUAGUUGUGAUACAGCGUGUAUGUACUUAUGAGUUCACACGAGUGUUCCUAAUGUCUAUAUUUUGUGCUAUUUUUGUCUUUAUGUGGUAUCUUCUUACAAUGAAAGUAUUACUAUGAAAGCAAUGUCAGUAGUUCUAUUUGUUGGUACAUGUGUUGGCAUGUGUUUUGACCUUAGUAUAAUUGUUCGACAUUUUGUUACUUUCCUUAAUAAAGCUUUUGUUUGUUGAAUGAUUAAAGCGCGAUUUUGGGUACACUUACGAGAAGGUCUUCUGAUUGAAUGUUAUUCAGUAACGAUAAAGGCGAUAAACACAGGUAUAGUCUGAGUGCUGAAUUGCGCUACAUUUGAUCGUAUAUUUCAAAUAAUAAAUACAGUAGAUCGCUCAUUUAAUUAUAUUUUUGUAUUGCAAUUCACGCGAGGAAUAACCCACUAAAUUUUAGUCUUAUUUUCCUACUUUUAAGAUGAAUAAUGCAAAAGUAACGAUACUUUACUUUUACGAUCUGGACUCAUAGUUGUAAAUCCUGGCCUUAAACGUGUACAUGACCCUUAUGUGAUAAUUAUCACGUACAUUUUAUUCAACAACCCCGUUUAUUAUUAUUAUUUUUAUUUCAAAUAAAGUACUCACAUCGAAUUAUGUUGAACUAAGAUAUUGUCUAUCAUCAUCGAUCCGUGGUUGCAUUAUUCGUGCAUAUUGUAACUACCCGUAUUCAAGUUUGAGUACAUUUACACAUUUUCAAUUGAGGAUAUUGUAU